GGUCAAGCUACUAAGGGCUGUUGGUGGAUGCCUUGGCAUUAACAGGCGAUGAAGGACGCGAUUACCUGCGAUAUUCUUCGGUGAGCUGGAAAAAAGCUGUGAACCGGAGGUUUCCGAAUGGGGCAACCCGGUGGAAUUAAUCUUCCAUCAUCUUUCACUGAAUACAUAGGUGAAGGAGGCGAUACCCGCUGAACUGAGACAUCUAAGUAAGCGGAGGAAUAGAAAUCAAAAGAGAUUCCCAUAGUAGCGGCGAGCGAAGUGGGAAGAGCCUAAACCGAAGUCUUUGAUUUCGGGGUUGUAGGACCAGUCAAAGGACUAGUUAGCUUUAGCCGAACACUUCUGGAAAGUUGGGCGAUACAGGGUGAAAGCCCCGUAGGCGAAAGGGCAAACUGGCAGGAUUGGCACCUGAGUAGGGCCGGACACGUGAAACCCGGUCUGAAUCUGGGGAGACCACUCUCCAAGGCUAAAUACUCGUUAAUGACCGAUAGCGAACCAGUACCGUGAGGGAAAGGUGAAAAGAACCCCUGUUAGGGGAGUGAAAUAGAACCUGAAACCAGCAGCUUACAAGCGGUCAGAGGCCUAUGCCCUUUUUAAGGGAAUGGCUGAUGGCGUGCCUUUUGCAUGAUGAGCCAGCGAGUUACGUUAAAUGGCAAGGUUAAGGGACGUUCGUUCUGGAGCCGAAGCGAAAGCAAGUCUUAAAUAGGCGAAUUUAGUCAUUUGAUGUAGACACGAAACCAAGUGAUCUAUCCAUGACCAGGUUGAAGCAAGGGUAACUCUUUGUGGAGGACCGAACCAGUGUAUGUUGAAAAAUACUUGGAUGAGUUGUGGAUAGGGGUGAAAGGCCAAUCAAACUUGGAGAUAUCUUGUUCUCUCCGAAAUAACUUUAGGGUUAGCCUUGGUUUAUUCUCUUUGGGGGUAGAGCACUGGAUUCUCGCGGGGGCCCACCAGCCUACCAACGGAAACCAAACUCCGAAUACCAAAGAGUGAUCCAGGAGAUAGACAGUGGGGGAUAAGCUUCAUUGUCGAGAGGGGAACAGCCCAGACCGUCGAUUAAGGUCCCAAAUUCUAUGCUAAGUGAGUAAGGUAGUGGAGUUUCUAAGACAAUUGGAAUGUUGGCUUAGAGGCAGCAAUCAUUUAAAGAGUGCGUAACAGCUCACCAAUCGAGAGACUUUGCGCCGAUAAUAUCCGGGACUAAAGCAUAGAACCGACAUCACGGGUGUCCGUCUUUUAGAUGGAUGCGGUAGGAGAGCGUAGUAUGUUGCGUUGAAGGUAUACCGAAAGGAGUGCUGGAGUACAUACUAGUGAAGAUGCAUGGCAUAAGUACACGAUAAAGGAGGUGAAAAUCCUCCUCGCCGAAAACCUAAGGUUUCCAGGGUAAAGCUCGUCUUCCCUGGGUUAGUCGGCCCCUAAGUCAAGGCGGAAACGCGUAGACGAUGGAAAGCAGGUUAAAUAUUCCUGCACCACCUAAAACUAUGACAAGGCGAUGACGGAGUACGUUAAGCGUGCGGACGAUUGGAAGUGUCCGUUACGCAGUGAGGCUGGUUGGCAGGAAAGUCCACCAACGGAAGGCCAGGCUGCGGACAAGGGGAAUCUUUUUGAGGAACCGAUGGCGUGGCGCAAUGCUUCCUAGAAAUAAUCGCUAGUCGUUGAUGGUGACCGUACCGUAAACCGACACAGGUAGGUGGGAUGAGUAUUCUUAGGCGCGCGAGAGAACUCUUGUUAAGGAACUCGGCAAAUUAUCUCCGUAACUUCGGGAGAAGGAGAGCCGCAGGGUGUGAUUAUACUUGCUAUAUGAGCAUCAGGCGGUCGCAGAGAAAUGGCCCAGGCGACUGUUUAGCAAAAACACAGCACUAUGCAAAGCCGUGUAAGGCAAAGUAUAUGGUGUGACGCCUGCCCAAUGCCAAAAGGUCAAAAGGAGGUGUUAGUCUUCGGACAAAGCACUGAAUUUAAGCCCUGGUGAAUGGCGGCCGUAACUAUAACGGUCCUAAGGUA
rnacentral:rRNA from 1 species